GACGAACGCUGGCGGCGUGCUUAACACAUGCAAGUCGAACGAUGAAGCCGGAGCUUGCUCUGGUGAAUUAGUGGCGAACGGGUGAGUAACACGUGAGUAACCUGCCCUUGACUCUGGGAUAACUGCGGGAAACUGUAGCUAAUACCGGAUACGACCCUCGGAGGCAUCUCCUGGGGGUGGAAAGAAUUUCGGUCAAGGAUGAGCUCGCGGCCUAUCAGCUAGUUGGUGGGGUAAAGGCUCACCAAGGCGACGACGGGUAGCCGGCCUGAGAGGGUGACCGGCCACACUGGGACUGAGACACGGCCCAGACUCCUACGGGAGGCAGCAGUGGGGAAUAUUGCACAAUGGGCGCAAGCCUGAUGCAGCAACGCCGCGUGAGGGAUGACGGCCUUCGGGUUGUAAACCUCUUUUAGCAGGGAAGAAGCGAAAGUGACGGUACCUGCAGAGAAAGCACCGGCUAACUACGUGCCAGCCGCCGCCGUAA
rnacentral:rRNA from 1 species